UUUGCUGUCGGAGUUCCCCCAGAGUGAUGGUGGCUGAAGGCACAGUGACAGCAGCCACCAGGAGCAGUUGACUCCGGCAAAGGGGACUGUCUCUGACUCAGCAGCGAGGCCCCUCUCUGACCCUUCUGUCCCAGAACUCUGGCUCUGCACGUAUUUUGCUUCAUUAACUCCCUCCUAGAUGUCUUCAAGCAGCUCUGUUGGCUGGUUUCUCAAGUGAACUCUACACCCAACGUGGGGCCUGAACUCACGAAGAGACCAAGAGUCACGUGCUCUACUGACUGAGCCAGCCAGGCGCUCGUACGUGUCACUUCUUAAUCUCUACCUUUAGCAGGGCUAGGCUCCCUUCACUUCAGAAAUACCAAGACGCUCUCUGGUGCCUGCCUUUCAAGAGCCCUCCCACCACCAGCAAGUCCCAGUUCUCCUCACGGCCUCCCUCAGGAAUUACCCACUUUCAAAAACAAAAGUGCUCACCGCCCAUCCAAACCUUCACACAACUGAGAAGCUGGUAUCGCUUCCUGGAACUUGUAAACUGGUUCGAUGUCCACUCCUUUUACCCUGUGGCCCUGCCCUGGCCGUCCCCGCUUGGAGUAGGAGGCAGAGGGCAGAUGGUGCCAGCACACUCCACCUGUUCACAGCCAUGCCCGGGCAGGAGAGACACCGGCACACCACCCACAGACCUGGUUUUCCAGGCAGGGCUAAGUGUGCAGAGAAGGCAUCACAACCCCCGGGAUCUGCUCUUCAUAACUGGGAAGGCCUGCUGCCCUCACCUUGGGCCCUCCAGUAAUCAUUUCCUCUUGGGCAAUGGAUUCUGCUCAUGGGAGUUGCAGCUUCAGAAGGUGCAGCAGGAAUUCAGAUGGCUCUAGGCAUUGCCAUAGCAACUGUACCUUUCUGAAGCCGUCACGGACUGCAGGAGCAGGGAGUAAGCAACGCAAAAGAAGGGGAGUCUGCCGGUGGAUAAAGCGCAAGCAGCAGACGAGGGGGCUGUGAAAAUAAAUGGAACCUCAGCACGGCUGGGACUUUGGGAUCUGCACUUGGUGGGCCUGCGGCUUCCUCAAGACCCAGGAUGCAUUUAGGACCUCUCGAGGGGUCUUCACGGCUAUGAAACAGCAGCCCAGGGGGCCUAUGAUGCUGACAGUAUACGUCACUUCUCUUAAAAGAUCAUCUACUCAGGUUCAAUUAGACUCCUAAAUGGUCACAGAGCAAUUAAGAAGGAAGUGCCCCCUACCUAGGGUGACACCUGUGUUCCAGGUCAGAGUUGAGGAAAGGGACCAGCUUCAAGCUCCUGAUACGGAUCUACAUUCUACAGCACAUGCCAAGAAGUCAGGAGGCACCUCAGGGGCCUUAGACAAUGGUGGAUAUUCUAGCUGUAAAAGAACUCACUUGUCAACCAGAGUUUAUAUAAAACCCAACACCCCAUGCACUGUCAUGCUGGCGUCUGAGCUCAUCGCCGUGGCUCUCUCUAGUCCUUUUUAUCGUCCUCCAAGUACACGUGAGAGGCUGGGAGUCCAGAGCCUCUCCUGCGAUUGAGGA